rnacentral:lncRNA from 1 species
GGAAGAAGGAGAAAAAAAUGGAAGGGAAAAUGUAGUAAGAGCAAAAUCCAAAAAGCCUUAGAUGGACCCGAGGAAGGUGGGAUGAUGUUUCCCAGGUGCUUCUCAUCAUGAUCUUUUCCCCCACCCACCCUAUCAGGAGAUUCUUGAAUCCUCAUAGACUAAAGACUGGAUCCAGAAAUUUGUCAGAGCUCUUCUUGCACAGUAAGAAAUGCUGGAGGUACAUCUAAUGGU